rnacentral:rRNA from 1 species
AACGAACGCUGGCGGCAGGCCUAACACAUGCAAGUCGAACGAGAAGCCACCUUCGGGCGGUGGACAGUGGCAGACGGGUGAGUAACGCGUGGGAACGUGCCUUUCGGUUCGGAAUAACCCAGGGAAACUUGGGCUAAUACCGGAUACGCACUUCGGGGGAAAGAUUCAUCGCCGAAAGAUCGGCCCGCGUCGGAUUAGCUAGUUGGGGGGGUAAUGGCUCACCAAGGCGACGAUCCGUAGCUGGUCUGAGAGGAUGACCAGCCACACUGGGACUGAGACACGGCCCAGACUCCUACGGGAGGCAGCAGUGGGGAAUAUUGGACAAUGGGCGAAAGCCUGAUCCAGCCAUGCCGCGUGGGUGAAGAAGGCCUUAGGGUUGUAAACCCCUUUCAGCGGGGAAGAUAAUGACGGUACCCGCAGAAGAAGUCCCGGCUAACUCCGUGCCAGCCGCCGCCGUAAUAC